rnacentral:rRNA from 1 species
GAUGAACGCUGGCGGCGUGCCUAAUACAUGCAAGUCGAGCGAACGGACGAGAAGCUUGCUUCUCUGAUGUUAGCGGCGGACGGGUGAGUAACACGUGGAUAACCUACCUAUAAGACUGGGAUAACUUCGGGAAACCGGAGCUAAUACCGGAUAAUAUUUUGAACCGCAUGGUUCAAAAGUGAAAGACGGUCUUGCUGUAACUUAUAGAUGGAUCCGCGCUGCAUUAGCUAGUUGGUAAGGUAACGGCUUACCAAGGCAACGAUGCAUAGCCGACCUGAGAGGGUGAUCGGCCACACUGGAACUGAGACACGGCCCAGACUCCUACGGGAGGCAGCAGUAGGGAAUCUUCCGAAAUGGGCGAAAGCCUGACGGAGCACCGCCGCGUGAGUGAUGAAGUUCUUCGGAUCGUAAGACUCUGUUAUUAGGGAAGAACAUAUGUGUAAGUAACUGUGCACAUCUUGACGGUACCUUAUCAGAAAGCCACGGCUAACUACGUG